GGGGAAUAUUGGACAAUGGGCGAAAGCCUGAUCCAGCCAUGCCGCGUGUGUGAAGAAGGCCUUUUGGUUGUAAAGCACUUUAAGCGAGGAGGAGGCUACUUAGAUUAAUACUCUAGGAUAGUGGACGUUACUCGCAGAAUAAGCACCGGCUAACUCUGUGCCAGCAGCCGCGGUAAUACAGAGGGUGCGAGCGUUAAUCGGAUUUACUGGGCGUAAAGCGUGCGUAGGCGGCUUCUUAAGUCGGAUGUGAAAUCCCUGAGCUUAACUUAGGAAUUGCAUUCGAUACUGGGAAGCUAGAGUAUGGGAGAGGAUGGUAGAAUUCCAGGUGUAGCGGUGAAAUGCGUAGAGAUCUGGAGGAAUACCGAUGGCGAAGGCAGCCAUCUGGCCUAAUACUGACGCUGAGGUACGAAAGCAUGGGGAGCAAACAGGAUUAGAUACCCUGGUAGUCCAUGCCGUAAACGAUGUCUACUAGCCGUUGGGGCCUUUGAGGCUUUAGUGGCGCAGCUAACGCGAUAAGUAGACCGCCUGGGGAGUACGGUCGCAAGACUAAAACUCAAAUGAAUUGACGGGGGCCCGCACAAGCGGUGGAGCAUGUGGUUUAAUUCGAUGCAACGCGAAGAACCUUACCUGGUCUUGACAUAGU
rnacentral:rRNA from 1 species